AGGGAUGACGGCCUUCGGGUUGUAAACCUCUUUCAGCAGGGACGAAGCCGUAAGGUGACUGUACCUGCAGAAGAAGCACCGGCUUACUACGUGC
rnacentral:rRNA from 1 species